GACGAACCGAGCAAACGUUAUUCGGAAUCACUGGGCUUAAAGGGCGCGUAGGCGGGCAUCCAAGUCUGUGGUGAAAUCCGGCAGCUUAACUGUCGAACUGCCGUGGAUACUGGGUGUCUCGAGGGAGGUAGGGGCGUGCGGAACUAUUGGUGGAGCGGUGAAAUGCGUUGAUAUCAAUAGGAACUCCGGUGGCGAAGGCAGCACGCUGGACCUCUUCUGACGCUGAGGCGCGAAAGCCAGGGGAGCAAACGGG
rnacentral:rRNA from 1 species